GAUGAACGCUGGCGGCGUGCUUAACACAUGCAAGUCGAACGGACCUUGAGGAGCUUGCUCCUCUUGGUUAGUGGCGGACGGGUGAGUAACGCGUGGGUAACCUGCCCUAUGCAGGGGGAUAACGUUUGGAAACGAACGCUAAUACCGCAUAACAUAAUUAGUUUGCAUGAACUGAUUAUCAAAGAUUUAUCGGCAUAGGAUGGACCCGCGUUGGAUUAGCUAGUUGGUGAGAUAACAGCCCACCAAGGCAACGAUCCAUAGCCGGCCUGAGAGGGUGAACGGCCACACUGGGACUGAGACACGGCCCAGACUCCUACGGGAGGCAGCAGUGGGGAAUAUUGCACAAUGGGCGCAAGCCUGAUGCAGCGACGCCGCGUGAAGGAUGAAGGUUUUCGGAUCGUAAACUUCUAUCAGCAGGGAAGAACCAAAUGACGGUACCUGACUAAGAAGCCCCGGCUAACUACGUGCCAGCCGCCGCGGUAAAAC
rnacentral:rRNA from 1 species